GGCCUUUAGAUUAUGAUUUAAGGUCUGACCUGCCCAAUGAUUAUUUUAAAUGGCCGCAGUAUUUUGACUGUGCAAAGGUAGCAUAAUCAUUAGUUUUUUAAUUAAAAGCUGGAAUGAAUGGUUUGAUGAAAAAAUAGCUGUCUCGAUAAAAUUUGUUUAGAAUUUUAAUUUUAAGUGAAAAAGCUUAAAUUUUUUAUGAAGACGAGAAGACCCUAUAGAGUUUAAUACUAUUUUUUCUAAUUGUUUUAGGUUUAUUUUGCACAUUAGUAUGUAUAGUAUUUUGUUGGGGUGACAUAAAAAUUUAAGUAACUUUUUAUAUUUUAAUACAUUGAUAUAUGAAUUUUUGAUCCUUAUUUUUUGGAUUAUAAGACUAAAUUACCUUAGGGAUAACAGCGUAAUUUCUUUGGAGAGUUCUUAUCGAUAGAGGAGUUUGCGA
rnacentral:rRNA from 1 species